GAAUCCAGCUCGGUACUCCGAAUGCAUCUAUGAUUAGAGUUUGAUCAUGGCUCAGAUUGAACGCUGGCGGCAGGCCUAACACAUGCAAGUCGAGCGGAUGACGGGAGCUUGCUCCUUGAUUCAGCGGCGGACGGGUGAGUAAUGCCUAGGAAUCUGCCUGGUAGUGGGGGACAACGUUUCGAAAGGAACGCUAAGUACCGCAUACGUCCUACGGGAGAAAGCAGGGGACCUUCGGGCCUUGCGCUAUCAGAUGAGCCUAGGUCGGAUUAGCUAGUUGGUGAGGUAAUGGUUCACCAAUGGGCGACGAUCCGUAACUGGUCUGAGAGGAUNAUCAGUCACUACUGGAACUGAGACACGGGUCCAGGACUCCUACGGGAGUGCAGCAGUGGGGAAUAUUUGGACAAGUAGGGCGAAAUGCCUGAUCCAGGCCAUGCCUGCUGUGU
rnacentral:rRNA from 1 species